UUAAAAGGCUUGUUUCUGUUUCAAUGUGUAAAAUUUUAUUCGGAAAUCGUUUUAAACUUAGACUCGUAUGAAUAGGACUAGCUCAAGGAACACAUGUGCACCUAUUAUCCAAAUUUAUCUACUUUUGCCAUUUGCUUUAUAAAGUGUUCUUUCUCCAUGUAAACAAAUAAUUUAUAUUUAUUUCUAUUUAUGGACUUUCUAUGAAAUGUAUAUGUAAUUGUUAUGUAUGUAUAUGUGAUGUAUAUGUAAUUUAUUUCUUUUCUUUCUGUUAUAACAAGAUGUCUGAUGCUUGUACUCAGCCUGUUUCAGCCGUGAAAAAUAGCCUUUCUGAGAAGCCUCGGUUCCUUUUAGUGGAAAAUGACUUUAGAGACCAAGAUACUUUACGAAGAAUAACCAUGAUGUGCUUUUCCGCUGUCCAUCAGCUCAGACGCCCUUUCAACUUCCUUCUCCUGCCACCCAGAAGCAAUUUCCUUGCCUUCCACAGAGGAUGCCUCUUUCAAGGUGAGAACUAACCCAUGACAUUUAUACU
rnacentral:lncRNA from 1 species